rnacentral:rRNA from 1 species
UNAGACCGCAUGGUCUUGUUAUUAAAGAAUUUCGGUUAUCGAUGGGGAUGCGUUCCAUUAGGCAGUUGGUGAGGUAACGGCUCACCAAACCUUCGAUGGAUAGGGGUUCUGAGAGGAAGGUCCCCCACAUUGGAACUGAGACACGGUCCAAACUCCUACGGGAGGCAGCAGUGAGGAAUAUUGGUCAAUGGGCGCAGGCCUGAACCAGCCAAGUAGCGUGAAGGAUGACUGCCCUAUGGGUUGUAAACUUCUUUUAUAUGGGAAUAAAGUUUUCCACGUGUGGAAUUUUGUAUGUACCAUAUGAAUAAGGAUCGGCUAACUCCGUGCCAGCAGCCGCGGUAAUACGGAGGAUCCGAGCGUUAUCCGGAUUUAUUGGGUUUAAAGGGAGCGUAGGUGGACAGUUAAGUCAGUUGUGAAAGUUUGCGGCUCAACCGUAAAAUUGCAGUUGAUACUGGCUGUCUUGAGUACAGUAGAGGUGGGCGGAAUUCGUGGUGUAGCGGUGAAAUGCUUAGAUAUCACGAAGAACUCCGAUUGCGAAGGCAGCUCACUGGACUGCAACUGACACUGAUGCUCGAAAGUGUGGGUAUCAAACAGGAUUAGAUACCCUGGUAGUCCACACAGUAAACGAUGAAUACUCGCUGUUUGCGAUAUACAGUAAGCGGCCAAGCGAAAGCAUUAAGUAUUCCACCUGGGGAGUACGCCGGCAACGGUGAAACUCAAAGGAAUUGACGGGGGCCCGCACAAGCGGAGGAACAUGUGGUUUAAUUCGAUGAUACGCGAGGAACCUUACCCGGGCUUAAAUUGCAUUUGAAUAUAUUGGAAACAGUAUAGCCGUAAGGCAAAUGUGAAGGUGCUGCAUGGUUGUCGUCAGCUCGUGCCGUGAGGUGUCGGCUUAAGUGCCAUAACGAGCGCAACCCUUAUCUUUAGUUACUAACAGGUCAUGCUGAGGACUCUAGAGAGACUGCCGUCGUAAGAUGUGAGGAAGGUGGGGAUGACGUCAAAUCAGCACGGCCCUUACGUCCGGGGCUACACACGUGUUACAAUGGGGGGUACAGAAGGCAGCUACCUGGUGACAGGAUGCUAAUCCCAAAAGCCUCUCUCAGUUCGGAUCGAAGUCUGCAACCCGACUUCGUGAAGCUGGAUUCGCUAGUAAUCGCGCAUCAG